rnacentral:rRNA from 3 species
UGCAGUCGAGCGGAUGAAGGGAGCUUGCUCCUGGAUUCAGCGGCGGACGGGUGAGUAAUGCCUAGGAAUCUGCCUGGUAGUGGGGGAUAACGUCCGGAAACGGGCGCUAAUACCGCAUACGUCCUGAGGGAGAAAGUGGGGGAUCUUCGGACCUCACGCUAUCAGAUGAGCCUAGGUCGGAUUAGCUAGUUGGUGGGGUAAAGGCCUACCAAGGCGACGAUCCGUAACUGGUCUGAGAGGAUGAUCAGUCACACUGGAACUGAGACACGGUCCAGACUCCUACGGGAGGCAGCAGUGGGGAAUAUUGGACAAUGGGCGAAAGCCUGAUCCAGCCAUGCCGCGUGUGUGAAGAAGGUCUUCGGAUUGUAAAGCACUUUAAGUUGGGAGGAAGGGCAGUAAGUUAAUACCUUGCUGUUUUGACGUUACCAACAGAAUAAGCACCGGCUAACUUCGUGCCA